CCUUUAGGUUCGGAAUAACUCAGGGAAACUUGUGCUAAUACCGAAUGUGCCCUUCGGGGGAAAGAUUUAUCGCCUUUAGAGCGGCCCGCGUCUGAUUAGCUAGUUGGUGAGGUAAAGGCUCACCAAGGCGACGAUCAGUAGCUGGUCUGAGAGGAUGAUCAGCCACAUUGGGACUGAGACACGGCCCAAACUCCUACGGGAGGCAGCAGUGGGGAAUCUUGCGCAAUGGGCGAAAGCCUGACGCAGCCAUGCCGCGUGAAUGAUGAAGGUCUUAGGAUUGUAAAAUUCUUUCACCGGGGACGAUAAUGACGGUACCCGGAGAAGAAGCCCCGGCUAACUUCGUGCCAGCAGCCGCGGUAAUACGAAGGGGGCUAGCGUUGCUCGGAAUUACUGGGCGUAAAGGGAGCGUAGGCGGACAUUUAAGUCAGGGGUGAAAUCCCGGGGCUCAACCUCGGAAUUGCCUUUGAUACUGGGUGUCUUGAGUAUGAGAGAGGUGUGUGGAACUCCGAGUGUAGAGGUGAAAUUCGUAGAUAUUCGGAAGAACACCAGUGGCGAAGGCGACACACUGGCUCAUUACUGACGCUGAGGCUCGA
rnacentral:rRNA from 1 species